rnacentral:rRNA from 1 species
UGGGGAAUUUUGGACAAUGGGCGAAAGCCUGAUCCAGCAAUGCCGCGUGUGUGAAGAAGGCCUUCGGGUUGUAAAGCACUUUUGUCCGGAAAGAAAUCCUUGGCUCUAAUACAGUCGGGGGAUGACGGUACCGGAAGAAUAAGCACCGGCUAACUACGUGCCAGCAGCCGCGGUAAUACGUAGGGUGCAAGCGUUAAUCGGAAUUACUGGGCGUAAAGCGUGCGCAGGCGGUCUGCUAAGACCGAUGUGAAAUCCCCGGGCUCAACCUGGGAACUGCAUUGGUGACUGGCAGGCUAGAGUAUGGCAGAGGGGGGUAGAAUUCCACGUGUAGCAGUGAAAUGCGUAGAGAUGUGGAGGAAUACCGAUGGCGAAGGCAGCCCCCUGGGCCAAUACUGACGCUCAUGCACGAAAGCGUGGGGAGCAAACAGGAUUAGAUACCCUGGUAGUCCACGCCCUAAACGAUGUCAACUAGUUGUUGGGGACUUCAUUUCCUUAGUAACGUAGCUAACGCGUGAAGUUGACCGCCUGGGGAGUACGGUCGCAAGAUUAAAACUCAAAGGAAUUGA